rnacentral:rRNA from 1 species
UUCUCGAAUUUAAAAGAGUUAAUUAAUUAAAAAAUUUAUUGUAGCAAAAAUAUUUUUCAUAAUUAAUUAGAAAUGAAAUGUUAAUCGUUUUUAAAUAUAUCUAGUUUUUUUAGAAAAAAAUUUAAUUUUAAAUUAAAUUAAUUAAAAAAUUAAUUAAAAAAUUUUUUAAAAUUUAAAUUUAAUAUUUUAAGGGAUAAGCUUUAAUUUAAAAUAUUUAUAAUUAAAUAUUAAAUUUUUUGAAAAUUUUAAAAUUUAUAUUGUUUAAAAAUUAUAAUUUUUUAUAAAUAAUUUCAUAAAAAAUAAAAUUUAAUUUUAAUUUAAUUUUUUAUAAAAAAAUAAAAUUUAAAAAAAUAAUUUUAGUUAUAAUGAUAAAAUUAGUAUAUAAAUUUUAUUUAAUUAAUAUUAUAAAAUAUUUUUAAAUGAAAAAUUAAUUAUAAGGAAUUCGGCAAAAAUUUAUAUUCACUUGUUUAUCAAAAACAUGUCUUUUUGAAAUAAUUUAAAGUCUAAUCUGCCCACUGAUGAAAAUUGAAGGGCUGCAGUAUUUUGACUGUACAAAGGUAGCAUAAUCAUUAGUCUCUUAAUUGGUGACUUGUAUGAAAGAUUGGAUGAGAUAUAAGCUGUCUUAUUUUUAUUUAUAGAAUUUAAUUUUUU